rnacentral:rRNA from 1 species
CAUGCAAGUCGAGCGCCCCGCAAGGGGAGCGGCAGACGGGUGAGUAACGCGUGGGAAUCUACCCAUCACUACGGAACAACUCCGGGAAACUGGAGCUAAUACCGUAUACGUCCUUCGGGAGAAAGAUUUAUCGGUGAUGGAUGAGCCCGCGUUGGAUUAGCUAGUUGGUGGGGUAAUGGCCUACCAAGGCGACGAUCCAUAGCUGGUCUGAGAGGAUGAUCAGCCACACUGGGACUGAGACACGGCCCAGACUCCUACGGGAGGCAGCAGUGGGGAAUAUUGGACAAUGGGCGAAAGCCUGAUCCAGCCAUGCCGCGUGAGUGAUGAAGGCCCUAGGGUUGUAAAGCUCUUUCAACGGUGAAGAUAAUGACGGUAACCGUAGAAGAAGCCCCGGCUAACUUCGUGCCAGCAGCCGCGGUAAUACGAAGGGGGCUAGCGUUGUUCGGAAUUACUGGGCGUAAAGCGCACGUAGGCGGAUUGUUUAGUUAGGGGUGAAAUCCCAGGGCUCAACCCUGGAACUGCCUCUAAUACUGGCAAUCUAGAGUCCGAGAGAGGUGAGUGGAAUUCCGAGUGUAGAGGUGAAAUUCGUAGAUAUUCGGAGGAACACCAGUGGCGAAAGCGGCUCACUGGCUCGGUACUGACGCUGA